rnacentral:lncRNA from 10 species
AUGCAAAUGACAAGCAAAUUGGAAGAGCCGGGAAGAAAGGCAGCUAUAAUAAACAAGACAAAGAGAAAGGACGAGGGGACCGGCCCCGGAGUUUUAGCCGGGGGAGAUCAGAAGAAUGGGGUUUGGCGAAAAGCGGGGAUCUGCACGAACAAAAAAGCGACCCGGUCCCCCUCGCGGUCCUCUCUCCUGAGAAGAGAGAGCAGGAGAAAGAAGGAAAGGGAGCAAACGCCUCCUCACACCCCAGAAACAGUACACAAAAGAGAGAGGAAAACACGCGCGCGCACACACGGUGAUAUCUUGCGGGUGAUGAAUAUGAUAAUUGGACAAGAGACGAGAGAACCAUUCUCUGCUUUCAAUAGGACAGAAGAGCUCCUUGGCACUGCAUGCCUCCGGGUCUGGUUGAGAGAGGAAUGGUUAGGAGACUGUUCUGAGGAUACGCAGACAUCAUCCAAAGCUUCCUACAUUCAGAUGAGGACAGUGGUUGGGCCAGAGCAUGGCAUGCUUGUUACCUAAGGACGGUUCUGACCAUGUGAGCAAAUCACAGAAGGUUUGCUGCUGCCACUUUAUAUGCAG